GCCUGGGAAGCUCGAUGGUUAGCACGUCGAGCUAGCAACCCGGGGCUCACGGGUUCGAAUCUCCGUCUCGGAAG